GUGCUCACUUUAGCAGGAUGUAUAUGAAAAUUGAAACAAUACAGAGAAGAUAAGUGUGGUCCCUGCACAAGUAUGACACAUACAUUCAUGAAGCAUUCCAUAUUUUU